rnacentral:tRNA from 1 species
GGACGAUUAGCUCAGGGGGAGAGCACCUGCUUGACGUGCAGGGGGUCAGGGGUUCAAAUCCCUUAUCGUCCACCA